rnacentral:rRNA from 1 species
AGUGAACGCUGGCGGUAGGCCUAACACAUGCAAGUCGAACGGCAGCACAGUAAGAGCUUGCUCUUACGGGUGGCGAGUGGCGGACGGGUGAGGAAUACAUCGGAAUCUACUUUUUCGUGGGGGAUAACGUAGGGAAACUUACGCUAAUACCGCAUACGACCUACGGGUGAAAGCAGGGGAUCUUCGGACCUUGCGCGAUUGAAUGAGCCGAUGUCGGAUUAGCUAGAUGGCGGGGUAAAGGCCCACCAAGGCGACGAUCCGUAGCUGGUCUGAGAGGAUGAUCAGCCACACUGGAACUGAGACACGGUCCAGACUCCUACGGGAGGCAGCAGUGGGGAAUAUUGGACAAUGGGCGCAAGCCUGAUCCAGCCAUACCGCGUGGGUGAAGAAGGCCUUCGGGUUGUAAAGCCCUUUUGUUGGGAAAGAAAAGCAGCAGGUUAAUACCCCGCUGUUCUGACGGUACCCAAAGAAUAAGCACCGGCUAACUUCGU